rnacentral:rRNA from 1 species
UACGAAGGGUGCAAACGUUGCUCGGAAUUAUUGGGCGUAAAGCGCGCGCAGGCGGCCUUUUAAGUCUGAUGUGAAAGCCCACGGCUCAACCGUGGAAGGUCAUUGGAAACUGAAAGGCUUGAGUACAGAAGAGGAAAGCGGAAUUCCACGUGUAGCGGUGAAAUGCGUAGAGAUGCGGAGGAACACCAGUGGCGAAGGCGGCUUUCUGGUCUGUAACUGACGCUGAGGCGCGAAAGCGUGGGGAGCAAACAGG